rnacentral:tRNA from 1 species
GCUGUGAUGGCCGAGUUUUUAAGGUGUUGGACUUGAAAUCCAAUGGGGUCUCCCCGCGCAGUUUCGAACCCUGCUCGCAGCG